rnacentral:lncRNA from 1 species
AAGGACUCUAUUAAAGAGCCAGGUUAAAGCCAAAGAAGGAAUGAAGGAAGAUAUUAGGGAGCCAGAUUAGAGCUGAAGAAAGGGAAAAAAGAGGGAAGAAAGGAUUUAUUAGGGAGCCAAAUUACAACCAAGGAAGGAAGAGCCAGGUUAGAGCCAAAAAGGAAGGAAGGAAGAUAUUAGGGAGCCAGAUAACAGCCAAGGAAAGAAGGAAGGAAGGUAUUUGGGAGCCAGGUUAGAGCUGAAAAAAGGAAGGAAAGAAUUAAGGAAGGAAGGACUGUAUUAGGGAGCCGCAUUAGAACCAGGGAAGGAAGGAAAAAAUUCAUUAGGGAGUGAGGUUGGGGACAGAGAAAGAAGGAAAGAAGGCAAGAAGGACUGUAUUCUUGAGCCAGGUUGUAACUAGAAAAGGCACCUUUCUAUCUCCCCCCCCCCCCCCCGCACAUACACAUCCCCGAUCACCUGGUCCGGCGUGGGC